rnacentral:rRNA from 1 species
GAUGAACGCUAGCGGCAGGCUUAAUGCAUGCAAGUCGAGGGACAGCACAGGUAGCAAUACUGGGUGGUAACCGGCAAACGGGUGCGGAACACGUACACAACCCUCCUUUAAGUGGGGGAUAGCCCAGAGAAAUUUGGAUUAAUACCCCGUAAUAUAGUCGAAUGGCAUCAUUUGAUUAUUAUAGCUACGGCGCUUAAUGAUGGGUGUGCGGCUGAUUAGAUAGUUGGCGGGGUAACGGCCCACCAAGUCUACGAUCAGUAGCUGAUGUGAGAGCAUGAUCAGCCACACGGGCACUGAGACACGGGCCCGACUCCUACGGGAGGCAGCAGUAAGGAAUAUUGGUCAAUGGACGCAAGUCUGAACCAGCCAUGCCGCGUGAAGGAUUAAGGUCCUCUGGAUUGUAAACUUCUUUUAUUUGGGACGAAAAAGGGCCUUUCUAGGUCAACUGACGGUACCAGAUGAAUAAGCACCGGCUAACUCCGUGCCAGCCGCCGCCGUAACAC